UGCCUUUUAAACGCUUAUUCUGUCUCUUUCUAACUCCUUUGUCUCCGCCGGACUCGAGGUACCUGCUGGGUGGUGUGGGGCUGUUUUCCCCAACAGCUUUGUCUCCAAGCCCAACUUCAUAGAUGACACCCUGCCUGCUAGGCCAGAUGUUCUCUGGCCAAGAACACUAUUAUAGCUGCCUGGCUUCUCCCUGAGCAGCGUCAGGUGUGAGGAGUGUGCAUGGCAGCUGCCCAGCGACGGAUGGAAUCUUCCCCUGUCACCCAGGCUGGAGUGCAAUGGCACAAUCAGCUCACUGCAACCUCCGCCUCCUGGGUUCAAGUGAUUCUUCUGCCUCAGCCUCCCAAGUAGCUGGGACUACAGCCCUCAUUUCAGUCAACAACCACGUAACAGAUCAUCAAAAUACAUGAAGCAAAAACUGACAGAACUAAAGUUAAAUAUACAUAUCUACAAUUGUGGCGAGAAUAACAAACGAAAAAAUAUAACAAAAAUGUUCCACGCCUUGGUCAAUGGUACCACCAGCUAGCAAGGUUCCCAAGCCAAGAACUUUGGAAGCAUCCAUGAUUCUUCAUCUUCCACAUCCACUUUAUCACCAGAAGCACACAUUCAACUUUCUAAAUAUCCCUCAAACGGAUCCACGUCUUUCUAUCCACUUUUCUGAGCUAUCAUCAUGUCUUGCUUGAAUGACUUCCCCAGACCCAGCCGGUCUCCCGCCUCCAGCUCUGCCCCCUUCUGACUCCCUUUACAUGGUAUAAUCAGAGAGAUCUUUCCAAAACACAAAUCUGCUAUCACUGUUUUGCUUCAAGCCCUUUAGUGGCUCCUACUUCCAGCUGGAUGAGGUCCAAGCCUCUUAACAUGCUGUACGUGUACAUGCCUGACCCCUGCUACUUGACCAGACAAGUUUCUUCAUAGUGCUGUGUUUUUGUUCCCCCUGCCUAGAAUGUCCUUCCCCUUUUCUCUCGUUUCACGGUGUGCCAAACUCCUAUCCUGUGAGAUCCAGCUUACACGUCAGCUUCCCUGUGAUGCUUUUUCUAACUCCCUAUUCAGCCAGUGAAGUGCUCCCUGCAUUCCCAUGUGGCUUGUAUCUCUGUAAAAGCUCCACAGAGCUGUUUUAAUUUAUCUGUUAAUGUACACGUCUUCCCCACUAGACUUUUGCUCCGUAAAGAUAAAGUAUCUCCUUCAUCUCUGCUUUGCAUAACCUAACAUAGAGUUCAACACAUAGCAGUGUCUUAAUAAAUGCUGAAUAAAAGAAUUAAUAAAUAAAUGAAACAAUA
rnacentral:lncRNA from 1 species